CGUGUACACUUCUCAACCCCCUGGAGCAUACCCCGAUGCCACACUGCAGAGGCCCCCACCUCUCCACCAAUGCCCCCCACAGUUCACCUGGUCCUCACACAGGCCCUGCCCCACAGAGGCAGACACCCUUCCUGCCUGUAGAGGAUCAAGGCACCCAGUCAGUGCAGGCUGAAAAGUAGCUUGAGGGCUUGCUGUUAGGUGAGGCCAGUCCCUAGGGUGGGUUGCCUGCCCUGGCUGAACUGGAUUAAAUCUGUGCUCUAGUGGGCGUGGCAGACCCCUGGGGUAACAGGCCAAGGGAUGAACCUCAAUGGCCCCCACCUGGGUCUGUAUCAGCACGCCUGGACCAGCUCAGAACAAUGGCCCCCACCAAUGUCUCAGUCUCUGAAGAGGUCCCUCCUCUCACCAAGAUGCCCCCAGAUCCCACCAGGAAGAUUAGCCCUGAGCUAAUCUGUGCCAAUCCUCUAUUCUUUUGUGUAUGGGACACCUCCACAGCAUGGCUGGUGAGUGGAGUAGGUACAUGCCUGGGAUCUGAACUCCUGAACCUGGGCCACUGAAGUGGAGCACACGGAACUUUAACCAAUCAGCCAUGGGGCUGGGCCCAAGGUCAUUACUUUUUGAAUGCUAUAAGUGAACAGAUGACUAUUUUAGAAAUAGGUGACCCUACUCAUUAGAUAUGCAGAUUGAUUUCACUUCUAAGCUUGAGCAAUUAGUAACCUCAAGAAGCAUGUCAGAGUGAUUUCUUCACGCAAAAGGAUGAACUCUCUUGCUUUUAUGCUGCAAUUGUAACAUACUACUUAUUAUUUCAAGGGUCAUUUUCUAAUAUAGAAGAAAUGAUUGAUAAAAUAACUAUUUCAACAGACAUUUAUCACUUACCAAAUAUGUUCCAGACAUUGUUUGAGUUGUAUAUCCAGAGAUAUAAUAAUAAUGAGAUGGGUGACCAAAUACUUCAUCACCAAAAUGAGACUCUUUUGAAAGAGGUGCUGGAAAUAACUAUACCUGAAUAAUAAAUGUGAACUGUAACUAUGGUCACUUAAAUAAAAAGGCAUAGU
rnacentral:lncRNA from 1 species